rnacentral:lncRNA from 1 species
UAAAAGAAAGAACCCUUGAUUGUGGCUUAUAAGCUCUGUUCAUCUCUAUUUGCCUGCAAAAUACUGCAAGAAAGUGGUAGAAGAAAGUUGCUUGUCUCAUGGAAAAUGGGAACAAGAGGAGAGACAGAUGAAGAAGCUAGAGAGAAGGUUCCCUCAAAGAUGCACCUCAUCAUCUAGUUCCUUCUCCAGGCUCUCCCCUGUUAGCAGCAUAACCAGAUUGAAGAAUGAGAAUCUUUUGUUGCCUGGCACCUUGGAACACAUUGAGAGCAGCUACCAGAGGACAUGCCCUGCAUGCAGCUUGAGUAAGAGCCCUCAGUCACCUUGCUAGUCACUACCCAUGCAUCUCCAUGCUUUUCAGUGAAGCUCAAGAGGUGGACAAAUUCAUUAAUCAUCCAUUUUUCCACUGGAAUGCUGGACUUCAGUCAUAGAUAAAAUGCUAGGUGAUGCUCCUGAAGCCUUAUGAAUGUGAAUUUCAGGGCUGGAGAGGAAGAAUGAGAGACAGAGGAGAAGGACAACACAAAGGAGGGAGGACCAGAGGAAAGAUGGCAUUUUAAUUUGUAACCUCAUCAUUUCUGGUGUGAGUCACAAACAAUAAAAAAUAAUAACUAAAAACUGAG